UCAUAAUUCCUUGGAUAGUGAAAAACUUUCCUCGGAUAACUGUGGAAAAUCCAGAGCUAAUACGUGCAACUGAGCUCCGACCUCGACGCGAGUCUUGGGAAGAGCGCAUUUAUUAAAUACAAAACUGACCGGCGUACUCCUUCGGGAUACGCCGUUUGUCAAAAUUUGAUGACUCCGGAAUAACUUAGCCGAGCGCUACGGUCUUUAGUACCGGCGCCGUAUCUUUCAAGUGUCUGCCUUAUCAGCUUUCGAUUGUAGGUUAAACGCCUACAAUGGCUGUAACGGGUAACGGGGAAUCAGGGUUCGAUUCCGGAGAGGGAGCCUGAGAAACGGCUACCACAUCUAAGGAAGGCAGCAKGCACGCAAAUUACCCACUCCCAGCCCGGGGAGGUAGUGACGAAAAAUAACGAUGCGAGACUCUUCCGAGGCCUCGCAAUCGGAAUGAGUCCAUUUUAAAUCCUUGGACGAGGAUCCAUUGGAGGGCAAGUCUGGUGCCAGCAGCCGCGGUAAUUCCAGCUCCAAUAGCGUAUAUUAAAGUUGCUGCGGUUGAAAAGCUCGUAGUUGGACUUUCUAGAUCCAUUUCGUGGAUGAGUCGCUCUUCGUAUUAGCGUCUCGCGCCAGUUACUCGAUGACAUCGCCGGCGAGUUUCUCUUUUUCUACUUUUGUGGGAUUAGAGGCUUCCGACGUUUUGAUAUCUUGUGGACGGCGAGAAGCAAYCCUAGAGUAUAGCUCGUCCGCGUUUGGUAYAAUUAAAAAUUUGUCGGCUCGCUCGGAGUGCUCUUUACCGAGUGUUCCAGGGUGGCUGACACGUUCACUUUGAAAAAAUUAGAGUGCUUAAAGCGGGCUUAUUUACGGCCUAAAUGUCUGUGCAUGGAAUGAAGUAACAGGACCUCGAUUCUGUUGUUUUUGUCGGUUUUAAUGAACCGAGGUAAUGAUUAAAAGGGACAGACGGUGGCAUUAGUAUUGCGACGCUAGAGGUGAAAUUCUUGGACCGUCGCAAGACUAACUACUGCGAAAGCAUUUGCCGAGAAUGUUUUCAUUAAUCAAGAACGAAAGUUAGAGGAUCGAAGGCGAUCAGAUACCGCCCUAGUUCUAACCCUAAACUAUGCUAACUAGCGAUCCGCCGGAGUCAUUCCCACGACCCGGCGGGAAGCCCCAGGGAAACCAAAGUAUUUGAGUUCCGGGGGAAGUAUGGUUGCAACGCUGAAACUUAAAGGAAUUGACGGAAGGGCACCACCAGGAGUGGAGCCUGCGGCUUAAUUUGACUCAACACGGGAAACCUCACCAGGCCCGGACAUCAUAAGGAUUGACAGGUUGAGAGCUCUUUCUCGAUUUGAUGGGUGGUGGUGCAUGGCCGUUCUUAGUUGGUGGAGUGAUCUGUCUGGUUGAUUCCGAUAACGAACGAGACUCUACCCUACUAACUAGUCGGCGGAUCGUAACCCUGAGAUGGUUAGUUCGUAUAGGAGAGAUUAGCCCAGUUCGGAGUCCGAUCGAUGGUGCGCUUCGUGCGCGCGUACUUUCUCUCGUUUUCCGCGCAUUYGUGCGUGGCGGCGGGAGAGUCUGGUGCGCGUCGUUACGUUCGCGUAUUCGGAGAUCGCGGCUUCGGAGGAAGCWGCWUUCCGAUUGCGGCUACUGCUGGGGGCGUUCGUCGCAAUGUAUCUUCUUAGAGGGAUCAGCGGCGUAUAGCCGCACGAGAAAGAGCAAUAACAGGUCUGUGAUGCCCUUAGAUGUUCUGGGCCGCACGCGCGCUACAAUGUAGGGCUCAGCGUGCUUUCUCUCUCCGAAAGGAGCGGGUAACCCGUUGAAACCCCUACCCGAUUGGGAUUGGGGAUUGCAAUUAUUUCCCAUAAACGAGGAAUUCCCAGUAAGCGCGAAUCAUUAAUUCGCGUUGAUUACGUCCCUGCCCUUUGUACACACCGCCCGUCGCUACUACCGAUUGAAUGAUUCAGUGAGGACAUCGGACUGGCCCUUCGGUUUAGUGUUCUAGACCUUAGGCUGACGGAAUACGCAUGUCCGA
rnacentral:rRNA from 1 species